GUCAAACAGGUUAAACAGAUUUUAAACAGCUUAAACGGAUCUUAAAUGGGUUAAACGUGUUAAAUAGGUCAGGUUAAAUGGGUUAAAAAUAUGUUAAACAAGUUAAACAGAUUAAAUAAGUUAUCUGAUUCAACCCGAUCUAAAUAUUAAAUGGAUCAGAUAUGUAAAAUCCAAAUUCGAUCCAAUUAUUAAGUGGGUUAAACGGGUCGAUCCGUUUAUGACCCAAACCUAUUUAGUCCAAAUCCAAACCUGUUUAUGGCGGGUCAAACACGGGUCGGAUUGGCGGAUCGGGUCAUAUUUUGCUAGCCCUAGGUAGCCACCAUAGGCACGG
rnacentral:lncRNA from 1 species